GAUGAACGCUAGCUACAGGCUUAACACAUGCAAGUCGCGGGGCAGCAUGGGGGUUGCUUGCCAUCCCCGAUGGCGACCGGCGCACGGGUGAGUAACGCGUAUUCAACCUGCCCUUCACCACGGGAUAACCCGGCGAAAGUCGGACUAAUACCGUAUGUUGUCCAUUGACGGCAUCCGAUUUGGACGAAAGGCUUGGCGGUGAGGGAUGGGGAUGCGUCCGAUUAGCCAGACGGCGGGGUAACGGCCCACCGUGGCUACGAUCGGUAGGGGUUCUGAGAGGAAGGUCCCCCACACUGGAACUGAGACACGGUCCAGACUCCUACGGGAGGCAGCAGUGAGGAAUAUUGGUCAAUGGGCGUAAGCCUGAACCAGCCAAGUAGCGUGCAGGAUGACGGCCCUAUGGGUUGUAAACUGCCUUUAUGCGGGGAUAAAGUGGCCCACGUGUGGGCUUUUGCAGGUACCGCAUGAAUAAGGACCGGCUAAUUCCGUG
rnacentral:rRNA from 1 species